UACGUAGGGUGCAAGCGUUAAUCGGAAUUACUGGGCGUAAAGCGUGCGCAGGCGGUUUUGUAAGUCUGAUGUGAAAUCCCCGGGCUCAACCUGGGAAUUGCAUUGAAGACUGCAAGGCUGGAGUCUGGCAGAGGGGGGUAGAAUUCCACGUGUAGCAGUGAAAUGCGUAGAGAUGUGGAGGAACACCGAUGGCGAAGGCAGCCCCCUGGGUCAAGACUGACGCUCAUGCACGAAAGCGUGGGGAGCAAACAGG
rnacentral:rRNA from 1 species